rnacentral:tRNA from 1 species
GCCACUAUGGCGCAAUUGGUAGCGCGGCGCAUUUGUACUGCGAAGGUUGUGGGUUCGACUCCUACUAGUGGCU